rnacentral:lncRNA from 1 species
GUCGCGCGUGCUCUGCUAGCUGUGUGAUUCUGACUUAGUCGAGCUUCAUCAUACACUUUCAGCUGAUAAUUAGUUCUGAUAUCAAAACUUAAUCGAGACUCAUCAUACACUUUCGGCUGAUAAUUAAUUCUGAUAUCAACUGUGACGCCCCACUUUUCAAUAAAUCAUUCAUCCUAAAACCACUCUACUCCACUACAUUUAACCCUUUUAAUCUCUUGAGUCUAUCCAUCGUCUAACACGUUAUCGUCUCGUUAAGAGCCUAUUAUAUCUCAUAUAUAAAACUAUUCUAAAUUCUAAU